rnacentral:rRNA from 1 species
AUGCCUCCCCUCUACAUACUACUCCGGCUUCUCCUCUUGUACACUCCUCUUUGGUGCUUCUCUGCAGCUGCAUAUGAAGACUCUCUCACGGCAGGCCAAGCGCUCGCCGUCGGUGGCAAGCUCGUCUCAAGAAACGGCAAGUUCGCCCUCGGCUUCUUCCAGCCAGCAGCAAGCAACAUCAGUAAGUCGCCGUACAAUGCCACCUCCCCCAGCUCCAGCUGGUACCUUGGCAUAUGGUUCAACAAGAUCCCAGUUUUCACUAUCGUGUGGGUUGCUAAUAGGGAUCAGCCCAUCACCAACCCUAGUGUCAACCUAACACAGCUCAAGAUAUCAAGCGAUGGCAAUCUUGUCAUCGUAAACCAUGCUGCCAAAACUGAAUCCGUUGUUUGGUCCACUCACAUUGUCAAUAGGAAAACCAGUAGCAUAAACACCACCACCUCUAGCUCCAUUGUUCUCUUGAACAGUGGAAACCUUGCCCUACUCGUAAAUAGCCAAGAGAUGUUGUGGCAGAGCUUCGACUACCCAACAGAUAUCGGGCUUCCUGGCGCCAAGUUGGGCCGCAACAAGGUCACUGGUUUCAGUCACCAGUACAUAUCAAAAAAGAGUCUCAUUGAUCCGGGUUUUGGCUCGUACAUCAUUGAACUAAAAGACACCAGCGGGAUUGUCCUCAUGCGCCGCAACAACCCCCUGGUAAAGUAUCUGACUUAUGCAACCACAGGAUCAUCAUCUUUGAUACCAACACUCAAGUCAUUACUAGAUUUGAAUCCUCGGACCAAAGGUUUGAUUAAUCCAAUAUAUGUCGAUAACAACCAAGAGGAGUACUACACAUACACUUUACUGGAUGAAUCAUCAACUUCCAUGUUUGUCUUGCUAGACAUCUCUGGUCAGGUCAAGCUGAAUAUUUGGUCACAAGCCAACCAGUCUUGGCAAACCAUAUAUUCCGAGCCUGCAGAUCCUUGCAGUCCGCCUGCUACAUGCGGACCUUUCACGGUCUGCAAUGGCAUUGCACAUCCAUCCUGUGACUGUAUGGAGAGCUUCUCCCAUAAGUCACCGCAGGAUUGGGAGUUUGAGGAUCGAACAGGAGGAUGCAUCAGAAACACACCGUUACAUUGCAGCACUAGUGGUAACAACAAAAACAUGACAAGUUCAUCAGACAUGUUCCACCCCAUUGCUCAAGUUCAAUUGCCCUACAACCCGCAAAUAAUAGAUGUUGCUACCACUCAGAGCAAAUGUGAAGAAGCUUGUCUCGGUUCCUGCUCCUGCACUGCUUAUUCCUAUAGCAAUAGCAGAUGCUCUGUCUGGCACGGGGAAUUGUUUAGUGUAAAUCUGAAUGAUGGCAUUGAUAAUAAUUCUGAAGAUGUUCUUUACCUUCGCCUUGCCGCCAAAGAUUUGAUGCCAAGUUCCAGAAAAAAUAAAAGAAAACCAAAAGUCGGAGUUGUUACUGCUGCAAGUAUUAUUGGUUUUGGGUUACUGAUGCUCAUGCUGUUGUUACUGAUUUGGAGGAACAAAUUCAAGUGGUGUGGUUUGCCUUUAUACGGCAAUCAAGGUAGUGCUGGUGGAAUUAUAGCCUUCAGAUACACUGACUUAGUUAGUGCCACUAAAAACUUCUCAGAAAAGCUUGGAGGUGGUGGUUUUGGUUCUGUAUACAAGGGAAUGUUAAGUGACUCAACGAUUACUAUAGCAGUGAAAAAGCUUGAUGGUGACCGCCAAGGAGAGAAGCAAUUCAGGGCUGAGGUGAGCUCAAUUGGACUGAUCCAGCAUAUAAACCUAGUCAAAUUGAUUGGUUUCUGCUGCGAAGGCAACCAAAGAUUACUUGUGUAUGAACACAUGUUUAAUGGGUCUCUUGAUGGUCAUCUGUUUAAGAAGAGCAGUGUUGAUGCUGCCGUCCUAAGUUGGAACACCAGGUAUCAGAUAACCCUAGGAGUUGCUAGAGGAUUAUCAUACUUGCAUCAGAGUUGUCGUGAGUGCAUCAUACACUGCGAUAUUAAGCCGGAGAACAUACUUCUGGAUGCAUCAUUUGUUCCUAAAGUUGCAGACUUUGGGCUGGCAGCAUUUGUAGGAAGGGAUUUCAGCAGAAUUCUGACUUCAUUCAGAGGAACUGCAGGUUAUCUUGCCCCAGAGUGGCUUACCGGAGUGGCAAUCACACCGAAAGUUGACGUUUACGGCUUCGGCAUGGUUCUGUUGGAAGUCAUAUCUGGAAGGAGGAAUUCCUCGUCUGAAGAAUCAUACAACACUAGCAGCAGCAGUAACCAGAAUGUUAUAUAUUUCCCUGUUCAAGCCAUCAGCAAGCUUCACGGCGGAGAUUUGAAGAAUUUGGUGGAUCCACAGUUACAUGGUGACUUCAACUUGGAAGAGGCUGAAAGGGUUUGCAAAGUUGCAGGUUGGUGCAUCCAAGAUAAUGAGUUGGAUCGGCCGACAAUGGGUGAAGUGGUCCGGGUUCUCGAGGGUCAACAGGAGAUUGAUGUGCCCCCAAUGCCAAGAUUGCUUGCAGCUGUAACGGAACAAUCUGGUGCUCCAACUUUAAUGUAA